rnacentral:lncRNA from 10 species
ACCAAUCUUUCCCUGAUAAUGUAUUAAAAGUAAAUGGUAAUGAAGCCCCCUCCCCACCACCAAUAAGGCUUUCCUUCCCCAGCUGAGAGUCAUAAUUAAACCAAUCUUUCCCUGCUAAUGUAUUAAAAGUAAAUGGUAAUGAAGCACCCCUCCCAACCACCAAUAAGGCUUUCCUUCCCCACUCACCAAAUCAGAUCCUUUUACUUCCUCCUUCUCCCCUCAACCAAAUGUGAUCUUAAAAUAUUCUGACUUCUCUGUGAUAAGAUUCUAUUUUUUUUUUUAGUUCCAGGCUAAUACAACUUUCUCUUGAAGCAUGUAGCUUAUGUUUUAAGAAUCCUUAUGUGGCACUGCUAGUACAAAAUCACAGGCACAUGUGGAUUAUCCAUACUGUAUAUUUUGCAAGGGUCAUUGCUUAACACCACUUCCUGUUCUGAGCGUUUGCUCUAUCUUGAAAUCUCUACUGUGAUUGAACUGUCUCGGUGACGGGGGAACUCUGAAUAUCUUCCUCUGAAAGGGGACAUCACUGAGGUCCUUUCUCUGUCUUGCCACAGUGGAUAUUUUCUCUCUUUUGUCCACAUAGAUGAAUCCUGUAGUAGCCAUGGUAAGGAUCCUUGAUCCUAUCAUCAGAGUCCCUGGACAUUGCUCCAAAGUCCCCUAGGAACCACUUCAACUUUUCUCCCCUUAGAUGUGACCUGUUCUUUCUGGAACUCUGCAAGACCGUCUCUUUAUCCUUGGCAUCUGGGAUUUCCAGGGACACGUUCUCCUGGCACUUUGCUCACCUCUGUUUCCCCUCCAGCUCUUCCUGGAGUACCUGUCCUUUGUGCAAUACACCUCCUGGAACUGUCUUUCCAGUCUCUGCUUUUUGUCCUGAUGAUUUUCAUGUGCUUUUCCUCUACAUCAUGAAGCAUUUACUCCACAUUAUCUUCCAGUUUGCUCAUUUGUCCUCACCUCCACUCUUCUCUUUCUGAAUUUGCCUGUUGCUUUUUCAGUCUCUUAGCUCCGUGGAGUAUGUUCAGUGUUGCUGUGUUCUGAUAGAGGCUCCUUAAGCCAUCUUGUAGAUUUUUUGUUGCACUUCCUCUCUUCCCUUAGACCUCCACAGGAGGAACUUUUCAAUCUGUCCUCUUCUCUCUGCUUAAUGAGCCCCUGCAAAGGGUUUGGGAAGUGCUUCAGCCUCUCUGUGAUUGUGUGUUCACAUUAAUAUUUAUUAUUUUCUUAAAUGUGCAUAAAUCUCACAAUGUGAACAGU